CAUAUGCUGUCUCAAAGAUAAGCCAUGCAUGUCUAGUAUAAGCACUGUACUGUGAAACUGCGAUGGCUCAAUAAAUCAGUUAUCGUUUAUUUGAUAGUACCUUACUACAUGGAUACCUGUGGUAAUUCUAGAGCUAAUACAUGCUAAAAACCCCGACUUCAGGAAGGGGUGUAUUUUAUUAGAUAAAAAACCAACGCCCUUUCGGGGCUCCUUGGUGAAUCAUAAUAACUUAACGAAUCGCAUGGCCUUGCGCCGGCGAUGGUUCAUUCAAAUUUCUGCCCUAUCAACUUUCGAUGGUAGGAUAGUGGCCUACCAUGGUGGCAACGGGUAACGGGGAAUUAGGGUUCGAUUCCGGAGAGGGAGCCUGAGAAACGGCUACCACAUCCAAGGAAGGCAGCAGGCGCGCAAAUUACCCAAUCCCGAUACGGGGAGGUAGUGACAAUAAAUACUGAUACGGGGCUCUUUUGGGUCUCGUAAUUGGAAUGAGAACAAUUUAAAUCCCUUAACGAGGAACAAUUGGAGGGCAAGUCUGGUGCCAGCAGCCGCGGUAAUUCCAGCUCCAAUAGCGUAUAUUAAAGUUGUUGCAGUUAAAAAGCUCGUAGUUGAACCUUGGGCCUGGCUGGCCGGUCCGCCUCACCGCGAGUACUGGUCCGGCUGGGCCUUUCCUUCUGGGGAACCUCAUGGCCUUCACUGGCUGUGGGGGGAACCAGGACUUUUACUGUGAAAAAAUUAGAGUGUUCAAAGCAGGCCUUUGCUCGAAUACAUUAGCAUGGAAUAAUAGAAUAGGACGUGUGGUUCUAUUUUGUUGGUUUCUAGGACCGCCGUAAUGAUUAAUAGGGAUAGUCGGGGGCGUCAGUAUUCAGCUGUCAGAGGUGAAAUUCUUGGAUUUGCUGAAGACUAACUACUGCGAAAGCAUUCGCCAAGGAUGUUUUCAUUAAUCCGGGAACGAAAGUUAGGGGAUCGAAGACGAUCAGAUACCGUCGUAGUCUUAACCAUAAACUAUGCCGACUAGGGAUCA
rnacentral:rRNA from 1 species